rnacentral:rRNA from 1 species
AAUGGGCGCAAGCCUGAUGCAGCGACGCCGCGUGGGGGAUGACGGCCUUCGGGUUGUAAACCUCUUUCAGCAGGGACGAAGGGUGACUGACGGUACCUGCAGAAGAAGCACCGGCCAACUACGUGCCAGCAGCCGCGGUAAUACGUAGGGUGCGAGCGUUGUCCGGAAUUACUGGGCGUAAAGAGCUCGUAGGUGGUUUGUCGCGUUGUUCGUGAAAACUCACAGCUUAACUGUGGGCGUGCGGGCGAUACGGGCAGACUGGAGUACUGCAGGGGAGACUGGAAUUCCUGGUGUAGCGGUGGAAUGCGCAGAUAUCAGGAGGAACACCGGUGGCGAAGGCGGGUCUCUGGGCCGGUACUGACACUGAGGAGCGAAAGCGUGGGGAUCAAA